UAUAAACCAGGGCCGGACUGGGGAUACGAAGCAGCCCUGGAAAAAAAUCUAUGCCAGCCCCAUAAGUCAUUGUGCUAUGUAGGGUGUUAUAUAUUAAAGGACCACUAUAGUGCCCUGAGGGUGCCCCCACCCUCAGGGUCCCCCUCCCGCCCAGCUCUGGAAGGGGGAAAGGGGUAAAAAAUUACCUUUUUCCAGCGCUGGGCGGGGAGCUCUCCUCCUCCGAUCCUCCUUCUCUCCUCCCCGUCGGCUGAAUGCGCACGCGCGGCAAGAGCUGCGCGCGCAUUCAGCCGGUCACAUAGGAAAGCAGUAUAAAUGCUUUCCUAUGGACGCUGGCAUGCUCUCACUGUAGCGCCUCUAGUGGCUGUCAAUGAGACAGCCACUAGAGGAAAUAGGGGAAGGCUUAACCCAUUC